AAUUUACUCAAGUUUUUGAAAAAGUUAUUGAUAGUUUUUCAGAUUUAGAUAUAUAAUAGUUUCACGAAACAUGUUUUUUCCUUUUUAUAUCUAUGCUUCUUUGUAUAGUUUGUCUAAAGUAAGGUGUUUCUUUAUUCAUGAAUCAUUAGGUAGUUUAAUCGUGUUUUUGAAGAAACUGUAACUUGAAUGUCUCUCACACAUUUACACGAUACUGAUUACUUAUUUCGGAUUUUGGUAUAUUAUUCUGGAUUUUGAUAUGUUUAUUUAAAGGGUGUAACCGUGUAAGGCAGCACGAAAGCCUAUUGUAGAAGCUUCUCGAAUCGUUAAGGAAACCCCAGUCAUAGUUCAGGGCACAUAAAAAGUUGACACCUUUCAACUAAGGUUGGAAGGUAGGCAGGCCUGUACAUAAGUGAUGGUUCGUUUAGAUGGUUAUGAAAUGUGAAUAAAAUACUUCUUCAUUGAUUUGGAGGGGGUUAGCCUGUUGUAACGCUUGAGAUAGCAUCAAGUAUUUCAGUAGGAUAUAUUAGGUUAAUUCAAUCUAUUACGUUGUGAAGGCUUUACUGUUACUGCUAAAUUAAAAGCAGUUGGUAGAAGAGACUAGAAAGUGAUACUAGACAUGCCGAUCUAAUUACCAAGUUUGAAGAAGCUGAGAAAAGAUCAGACCAGCUUCAAGGCCCUACUCAAAGGUUUUUAGUCAGAUUACUAAAAAUUGAUCUCCAUAUUGGUUGAUGUAAAUGUAUCAAGGUUUGUGUAUUGGUUGAAGGGGAGUUGGAACUUUUAGGGGUUUAGUUAAAUGGAAUGAGGAUAAAGAAGUCGGAAUUGCAUACUAUUCGACAGUUUUAGUCUUUAGGUACUAAUAAUAAUAUCAAUCCUUGCACGUCUUUCCUAAUCAAGUUAAUUUUCUAACUUUAUAUUCCGGAUGGUACGUACACAAAGCAAGAAGUAGUGAAAUUUGAAGCUGAUGUUCUUGCAGCUCUGAAGUUUAAAAUGGGUAUUUCCACAGUAAAGCUAUUUCUUAGAUAGUAUCUAUGGUAAGUGGAUCUGGCAAAAAGAGUAACCUUGGGUUGAGACUUUCACAUUUUCUUCAAGUUUUAUUUUUUUUCUUCAAGCAGUUUUGAUUUCUUUUUUUUUGUCUAACGAGUUUUUUCUGGGUUAUUAGGCUUAAGAUGUGUAUUAGAGAAGUGGUUUUGAUUUCAUCAAGAAAGCAUUAGUGGCAAAUGGAUCUGGCAAUAAGAGUAACCCUGAGUUGGGACUUUCACAUUUCUUCUCUUGUCAGUGUGUUGCAUCAAUUGUGGGCCGUCAAUGGAAAGCUGGUGUUUCCAUUAGCGAAAAAAGUUGUGGAUUUUGAGCCACAAAUUAACUCAAAGAAGCAACAUGCAAAGGGUUAAUAAUCACAUCACUUCUAAUGGACUCGGAAUGCAUGCAAAGCUUGGCUUGAUGGUGUCUCACAACCACGUUGGACACUUCAGUCCAGGAAAAAAGGUGGAUGUGGAUGUGGAUGCUCAUAUUCAACAACUUGAUUAAUAUCUUAAAAAACUAGAAAGGCAACACCAAGACUAGGAAAAUGCUGCUACAGCUGGAUCACCUGCUUUGAACGCUCAUGGCAAUGGGAAACCUGUAAAGGAUGGUGGCUGAGGGCGGACAAAGUCAUGCCUUGUUGAUGCAUCCUCCACAGGCACACCAUCGACCACAAACCCACCCACUGUGGACUUGUACCUACCAAUUAAUCCUAAUAAACCGACAUAUUGUUUAUGCAACCAAGUGAGCUAUGGGAUAUGGUGGCAUGUGAUAACCCUCAAGUAAGUGUAACACUAGAGGUGACGAUAUUUGGAAGAGUCAAAAUGGUUAGGGCCGGGUUGGCUGGAAACACUCAAAAAUUUUCAAUAUUUAUAAAACAUUAGUUUGUCAUAUAUAAGAAUCUAAUUUGGGGAU